CACGCUGUAAACGAUGAGAACUAGCCGUUGUGGGUAUUGACCCCCGCAGUGGCGAAGCUAACGCGUUAAGUUCUCCGCCUGGGAAGUACGGCCGCAAGGCUAAAACUCAAAGGAAUUGACGGGGGCCCGCACAAGCGGUGGAGUAUGUGGUUUAAUUCGACGCAACGCGAAGAACCUUACCUGGGCUCGAAAAUGGUCGAACCUGCCUGAAAGGGCGGGGUGCCCGCAAGGGAGCGGCUAUCAGGUGC
rnacentral:rRNA from 1 species